rfam:Octopus bimaculoides Scaffold50835_contig_25, whole genome shotgun sequence.
GCUUACGGCCACAUCACGCUGAGAGCACCGGUUCUCGUCCGGUCACCGAAGUUAAGCAAUGUCGAGCCUAGUGAGUACUUAGAUGGGUGGCCGCUUGGGAAACCUAGGUGCUGUAAGCA